CCUACGGGUGGCAGCAGUGGGGAAUAUUGGACAAUGGGCGAAAGCCUGAUCCAGCCAUGCCGCGUGUGUGAAGAAGGUCUUCGGAUUGUAAAGCACUUUAAGUUGGGAGGAAGGGCAGUAAGCGAAUACCUUGCUGUUUUGACGUUACCGACAGAAUAAGCACCGGCUAACUCUGUGCCAGCAGCCGCGGUAAUACAGAGGGUGCAAGCGUUAAUCGGAAUUACUGGGCGUAAAGCGCGCGUAGGUGGUUUGUUAAGUUGAAUGUGAAAUCCCCGGGCUCAACCUGGGAACUGCAUCCAAAACUGGCAAGCUAGAGUAGGGCAGAGGGUGGUGGAAUUUCCUGUGUAGCGGUGAAAUGCGUAGAUAUAGGAAGGAACACCAGUGGCGAAGGCGACCACCUGGGCUCAUACUGACACUGAGGUGCGAAAGCGUGGGGAGCA
rnacentral:rRNA from 1 species